CGCGGCGGGGGAGGCCUAACGGCGUCUUGCCUGCUCCAAGACAACGGACCGCCUCUGGCACGACGUCUACGGCGGGCGCCGAGACCCAAACUUCCUCGAGAUAGUGUGCGCGCUUUCCCGGCCCUGUGGUGUAGUUAAGCGGAUUUGAGGCUCCAGGCAGGUUUCCGUGCCUCAGAGAAGCAGAACUGGCCCCGGCGCAGGAGCGGGUGCUUGACUUCUGAGUGACCUUCCGCACUUCCAGACUCGCCUCCUUAAGCCGUUCCUCCCCGCCCACCCGCUUCCGUUCCUCUCCAUACACUGUCGGGAAAUUUAGCCUUAGGGACUCCCCAGGCGGUUCACUGGUUAGGACUCCGCGCUUCCACUACUGGUGACCUUGGUUCCAUCCCUGGUGGGCCAACUAAGAUCCCGCAAGCCGCGUGGUGCGGUCUGAAAAAAAGAAAGAGAGAAAUGUAGACUUAAAACUCGAAAUUCCUCGUCUGGCUCUGACUCCUCCGGCCCAGCCCACCUCAUGCCGUCCUCGCGCCUUCUGCUUGCUCUCCAACCAGGCAGGGCUCAGCGCCUUUGGAGGGCGCCCCCUUUCUCUGUCUGGAACUCUCGUUCUCCAGAUCUCUACCUGGCCCGUCCUUUGUCACUUCAGCCUCAGCUCAAAAGUGAACUAAAGCGGUCCUUAACCUUUCUUCUCUCGCUCUGCUGUGAGUACCUUGAGGACAGAGUUCCCUUUGAACCCACGCGAGCACAGAGUAGGCAUUCGGCUGGAUCUCAGCUGACUGGAGCAAGAGAGACUCUCCUGCUUGUCUUGAAGAAGCCACCUGCUAUGAUACCACCUUUAGGGCCAGCGGUCUCACGUCCUAUAGGUGCAAGGAGCUGAAAUCUGCCAACAACCUGAAUGAGCUUGGAAGCAGAUCUUUCCCCAGUAAAACUUCUGAUGAGGCCUUAGCCCCAGGAAGUAUCUGGAUUGCAGCCUGGUUGUGACCCUAAGCAGAAAACCGAGUGUCCAAGUUAUGAGAGAGCCACAUGUCUAGGAACUGAGGGCAGCCUUUAAGAGUUGAGAGCCAGCAAGAAAACGAUAACUCCAGUCAUCCAACCACAAGGAACCAAUUCUGCUAAGGAACCUGAAUGAGCCUGGAAGGGGACCCCAAACCUCAGAUGAGAUCACAUCCCUGCAGACACCUUGAUUCCAGGUAAGCAAAGAACUCAGCCCAGACUCCUGACCCACAGAAAACACUGUGAGACAAUAAGUUUGUAUUGUUUUAAACAUCUGAGAUGGUGAUAAUUUAUUACAGCAACAUUAAAUUAAUGCCCUGACAUCACAGUAGGACCUUUGAAACAAAGACUGAAAUGACUAUUUUUCAGUGCUUUUAACUGGGCCUUCAUAUACUUUGUUUCCCAGACUUUUUUUUCUCCUGCAUUUGUAAGUAAAGUUUUGUGUGUGUGUAUGUGUUUUUACUUUUUAAAUCAAUUUUAUUGAGGUAUGAUUUACAUAUAAUAAAAUAUACCCAUUUUAGAUGAAUUUUGACAAGUAUAUGCAUCCAUGUAACCACUUCCAUAAUGAAGCUACAGAACAUUUCCGUCACCCCAAAAAGUUUUUUCAUGCCCCUUUGCAGUCAACUUCAGGUUCCAGAAACCAUUUGUUUGCUUUCUGUCACUGCAGAUUAUUUUUCAUUAUUUUUGUUGUGGUACAAUAUAUGUAUAUAUAUAACAUAAAAAGUACCAUAUUGUAAAUUGAUUUUGUGUGUUCUAGGAUUUUAUAUAAAUGGUGUAAUAAAUUAUAUACUAUAGGGCUUCCCUGGUGGCGCAGUGGUUAAGAAUCCGCCUGCCAGUGCAGGGGGCACAGGUUCGAGCCCUGGUCCCGGAAGAUCCCACAUGCCGCGGAGCAACUAAGCCCGUGCACCACAACUACUGAGCCUGCGCUCUAGAGCCCUCAAGCCACAACUAUUGAAGCCUGCGUGCCUAGAGCCUGUGGUCUGCAACAGGAGAAACCACCGCAAUGAGAAGCCUGCACACCGCAAUGAAGAGUAGCCCCCGCUCACUGCAACUAGAGAAAGCCCACACACAGCAACGAAGACCCAAU